GACAGGCGAUGGAGACGGGGAUCAGAUGGGAGGGUGACCUGGUGAGAGAUUUUCCAGCUGGCAGAAAUGUCCUCUACCUUGAGGGAGGCGUGUGACAUGGGAGUUCUGUUUAAAGAGGAGAAUGGAUGGUUACACAUCCUGCUUGGGAUCCAAUCACUGAACCAGAGGGGAACACCGUGCAUGAUGGGCUGCCCUACCCACUUUACGGAUGAGGAAAUGGAGGCUCGGGAGAUGAAGCUGGCAGACUUCCUCUGGAACUUCCUCUGGACAUCUGGAGGGACGUCCUGUCAGCAGAGCAGGCUGGACUGCUUCACAAAGAGGAUGCAGCCCCACCUCCCAGCGGGAGUCAGUUCUGCUCUGAGACGUGAGGCUCAGAAUCAGAUGAAGACUCCUGCUGCUGCAUCUUGAAGAUAAUGAUGCUGUUGCUCCCGGCUGGAACCACAGCAGUGGCGAUGAGUGAACAGCCAGCAGAGUGGAGCGGCCACACUGAUACAGGUGAGGCUCCAGCACUGCCGCAGCCCAGGGCCAGGCAAAACCGCCUUCCUAUCCCCCGGGAGCCGAGGCCUCCGAGAUCGGCGCUGGGAGGUCGCACAGUGCAGGCAAAUCACACGGACCUCAGAGCAGGGUCCCUGGCCGUGAAAACUCAAAAGACACAGUCUUUAAAAUAAGGACAGAAAACUGUAUUUAGUGCCACAAUAAAGCUGUGUCACAAACUACCC
rnacentral:lncRNA from 1 species